rnacentral:rRNA from 1 species
CCUUUGACGUUAGCGGCGGACGGGUGAGUAACACGUGGGUAACCUACCUAUAAGACUGGGAUAACUUCGGGAAACCGGAGCUAAUACCGGAUAAUAUUUCGAACCGCAUGGUUCGAUGGUGAAAGGUGGUUUUGCUAUCACUUAUAGAUGGACCCGCGCCGUAUUAGCUAGUUGGUAAGGUAACGGCUUACCAAGGCGACGAUACGUAGCCGACCUGAGAGGGUGAUCGGCCACACUGGAACUGAGACACGGUCCAGACUCCUACGGGAGGCAGCAGGG